rnacentral:rRNA from 1 species
UACGUAGGGGCCUAGCGUUGUCCGGAUUUAUUGGGCGUAAAGAGCGUGUAGGCGGCCAGGUAGGUCUGCUGUGAAAACUCGAGGCUCAACCUCGAGACGUCGGCGGAAACCAUCUGGCUAGAGUCCGGAAGAGGAGAGUGGAAUUCCUGGUGUAGCGGUGAAAUGCGCAGAUAUCAGGAAGAACACCGGUGGCGAAGGCGGCCCUCUGGACGGAUACUGACGCUGAGGCGCGAAAGCGUGGGGAUCAAACAGG